rnacentral:rRNA from 1 species
AUGGCCAGCGGCGGCGCGUCGGACGCGGAGGCGGAGCUGCGGCGGGGCUUCAAGGCCCUGGCCGUGACGCGGCCGGACCCGGCGGCCGCGGUCUACGAGGUGCGCCUCAGCCGCCCCGCGCAGCGCAACGCGCUCAGCCCGGACUCCUUCGCGGAGAUCCCGCGCGCCAUGGCGCUGCUCGACCGCGUCCCCGCCGCGCGCGCCGUCGUGCUCUCCGCCGCGGGCCCCCACUUCUGCGCGGGCAUCGAGCUCGGCGGGCCCGGGAACCCGCUCACCGCGCCCUUCAGCCGGGGCGCCGACCCCGCGGCCGCGGCCGAGGGGCUCCGCCGCGCCAUCCUCGGCAUGCAGGCCGCGCUCACCGCCGUCGAGCUGUGCCGGAAGCCCGUCAUCGCGGCCGUGCACGGCGCCUGCGUCGGCGGCGGCGUCGACCUCGUCGCCGCCUGCGACAUACGCUACUGCUCAAAGGACGCCACGUUCGUGCUCAAGGAGGUGGACAUGGCCAUCGUUGCCGACCUCGGCGCGCUCCAGCGCCUGCCGCGGAUCGUCGGCUACGGGAACGCCGCAGACCUAGCCCUCACGGGCCGCAGGAUCACCGCCGCGGAGGCCAAGGAGAUGGGGCUGGUCAGCAGGGUGUUCGAUUCCAAGCAGGAGCUGGAUGCUGGUGUUGCGAAGAUCGCCAAAGAAAUAUCAGAGAAGUCGGCAAACGCAGUGAUGGGAACGAAGGCAGUUCUACUGAGAAGCAGAGAUAUCACAGUAGAGCAGGGCCUGGAGCAUGUAGCGACUUGGAACUCUGGAAUGCUGAGAUCUAAUGACCUGAUGGAGGCCAUCAAAGCUUUCAUGGAGAAGCGGAAGCCUGUUUUCUCUAAGCUCUGA